AUUGAACGCUGGUGGCAGGCUUAACACAUGCAAGUCGAGCGGGGUGAUGGUGCUUGCACUAUCACUUAGCGGCGGACGGGUGAGUAAUGCUUAGGAAUCUGCCUAUUAGUGGGGGACAACAUCUCGAAAGGGAUGCUAAUACCGCAUACGUCCUACGGGAGAAAGCAGGGGAUCACUUGUGACCUUGCGCUAAUAGAUGAGCCUAAGUCGGAUUAGCUAGUUGGUGGGGGAAAGGCCUACCAAGGCGACGAUCUGUAGCGGGUCUGAGAGGAUGAUCCGCCACACUGGGACUGAGACACGGCCCAGACUCCUACGGGAGGCAGCAGUGGGGAAUAUUGGACAAUGGGGGGAACCCUGAUCCAGCCAUGCCGCGUGUGUGAAGAAGGCCUUAUGGUUGUAAAGCACUUUAAGCGAGGAGGAGGCUCUUUUGGUUAAUACCCAAGAUGAGUGGACGUUACCCGCAGAAUAAGCACCGGCUAACUCUGUGCCAGCAGCCGCGGUAAUAC
rnacentral:rRNA from 1 species